rnacentral:rRNA from 1 species
CCUGGCAGAGGCCACUGCUAUCGGGGUUUGACUAAGCCAUGCGAGUCGAGAGGUUUCUGACCUCGGCGUACUGCUCAGUAACACGUGGACAAUCUGCCCUAAAGAGGAGGAUAAUCCCGGGAAACUGGGGGUAAUACUCCAUAGUUUGUGUUUACUGGAAUGUUACGCAAACGAAAGAUCCGUCGCUUUAGGAUGAGUCUGCGGCCGAUUAGGUAGUUGUUGGGGUAACGGCCCAACAAGCCUGUCAUCGGUACGGGUUGUGGGAGCAAGAGCCCGGAGAUGGAUUCUGAGACACGAAUCCAGGCCCUACGGGGCGCAGCAGGCGCGAAAACUUUACCAUGCGGGCAACCGUGAUAAGGAAACCCCGAGUGCCAGCACAGGCUGGCUGUCCACCAGUGUAAAUAACUGGUGAAGAAAGGGCCGGGCAAGACCGGUGCCAGCCGCCGCGGUAAUACCGGCGGCUCGAGUGGUGGCCACUAUUACUGGGCUUAAAGGGUCCGUAGCUUGAUAUGCAAGUCUUUUGAGAAAUCCGCCGGCUUAACUGGUGGGCGUUCAGGGGAAACUGCAUUUCUAGGGACCGGGAGAGGUGAGAGGUACUGCCGGGGUAGGAGUGAAAUCCUGUAAUCCCGGUGGGACCACCUACGGCGAAGGCAUCUCACCAGAACGGGUCCGACAGUGAGGGACGAAAGCUGGGGGAGCAAACCGGAUUAGAUACCCGGGUAGUCCCAGCUGUAAACGAUGCGCGUUAGGUGUGUCAGUGACCACGUGUCACUGAGGUGCCGAAGGGAAACCGUGAAACGCGCCGCCUGAGGGGUACGGUCGCAAGGCUGAAACUUAA